GGUUCCCACAGCUUUGGCCUGAAUGGAUCCUCCACUAGUACCGAACAACUCGAAGUCACCUUUAUUUAGACUUUUUAUUUCCGACAGACCCUGCAAUGAUUUGCAAAGGUGUAAGCCAUAGGCAGUAUCCAAUAUCCAAGAAUCUAAAAUUGAAAUACUUAAUGAUAAGUUUGUUUGUAUCAUAUACAAACCUUUAGCAACACUUGCUUCUUUAUGUUUCACAGUUGCAAGAUAUUCCUUGCAAUUCC
rnacentral:lncRNA from 1 species